rnacentral:sRNA from 1 species
AAGUCCACGCCGUGGGACGACAGAGCCCACAGCGGCGCCGCCCGCUACCCUGACCGGGUGCGCCUUCCACCGGAAGACGCAAAGCCGACAGCCGUCGCAACCAGGGGAGCACCUCCAUG